UACGUAGGGGGCUAGCGUUGUCCGGAUUUAUUGGGCGUAAAGAGCGUGUAGGCGGCCAGGUAGGUCUGGUGUGAAAACUCGAGGCUUAACCUCGAGAUGUCAUCGGAAACCAUCUGGCUAGAGUCCGGAAGAGGAGAGUGGAAUUCCUGGUGUAGCGGUGAAAUGCGCAGAUAUCAGGAGGAACACCGGUGGCGAAGGCGGCAUCCUGGACCAACACUGACGCUGAUGAGCGAAAGCCAGGGGAGCAAACGGG
rnacentral:rRNA from 1 species